CUUGCAUGGAGUUUUUGUCUGAAAAUAACUACCAUGAAGGAUCACUCCAGAGAGGACAAAAUAUUUUAGGCUCCCUCUUUUUAAGAGCUGGGGUGUUGCCUGUGCUUAGGGCAUUCUAGUAGAUCUCUUUUUUCAGAAUUUCUGGUUUAUUCUGUGAGUAACUCUGGCCAUGAAGAAGAACAACUACAUAAAUUACAGUGUGGGAUUUUGUUUUUUAAAAUGAUAUUAAGGCAUUUCUACAGCCUGUGUUUAGACACACAGAGCUAUGCUGUGAAGGAUCCAGGCACAAACGCUGAGUUUUGGCAUCAAUUUCGAGGAUAAUGUCAUGGAGACUUCCAAAGAUGUUUCAAGUCAAAGGAAUGGCUGGGCACAAGUGGUUUGAACUUGGUGGGAUUCCCAGUAGGACCAUUGCAAUAUCUCCAGGUUUGGAGAUUUAAAAUUUUAGCCUUACAUUAGUAACUUUGGUUCCACAGCUGGAAGUUUUAUUGAAACCUCCCUGAAAAGGAUUGUAAGAGCAAAUUGCUUGAAAUGGCAGGAUUUAGAAUGGGUUCAGGGAAUGAAGAAACAGAUGAUGAGAGGAUCAAGGAGAAGAUGAGUUUAUUAAAACUCAGAAUAUGAUAGCAGAGGUACAAAAAUUACGUUAGUGAAGCAUAAUGUGGAAUUAAAACAAUCCAGAUGUUGCAGACUAUGAUGAACUAUGGGAAGAAAUACAUCCCAAGGAUUGAGGCAACAUGAGGACAGCCAGUCACUGUAGCUGCAAACAUGAUUCUAAUAACUCAGCAAAAGCACAAAGGAGCAGUCUGGGAAGUAUCUGCCCAUUUGUGCUCGUGGAGAUGCCUGACUGCAAAUCGAGGUGCUGAACCAGUCUCUGGUGCUCAGGUGGGGACACAGACUGUUCCUACAAGUGUGGACAGUCUGUCUGAGCUAAAGCUCAAAGAUUAUUGCUUCAGUUGCUCAAAUACAAAAGUGCUGUCUCUCAAUUACAUACUCAGGAUAAAUAAUAGGAAGAAUCACUUGAUGGGAAUUCCAAUGGAGAAAAUGGGAGUGAAAUAGGAAGUACAGGUAUCAGGAAACAACAAAUGGUGAGUGGAAACUGUUAAUUCUAUUCUUACAUAUCUGUUGUAAUGACAAACUUUUUUAUUCAGUGUGAUGUAGUUGGAUGUUUUGCUAAAAAUACCCUAGGAAUGCCUGUGAGGAAACAGAAAAAUC
ensembl:lncRNA